rnacentral:ncRNA from 1 species
CUAUAAGAGUUAGUCACUGUCGUUACCCUUUUUUUGAGGAUACGGGAAUACUAACGUUGA